rnacentral:other from 1 species
AAUUACCUGGAGAGUUCGCAUUUUCACUUAUUUUUUGAGCGACCCGAACAGAACACACUUAGGGAACAAGAUUUUACAAGCGUUGAAGGCCUAUAGACAAUAAUAGGAAUCCCAAUGUAAAAUUGCUAGUUUACCACCUUAUUUUAGAUGCGGUUGCGCAUCUUGUGAUAACGGCUCAUCUGGGUAUUUA